rnacentral:rRNA from 1 species
UAUAGUGACAAGAAAUAGCAAGCCAGGAGAUUCUUCUCUACGGCAUUGAAAUGAGAACAGUGUAAAUCUCUUAGCGAGGAACAAUUGGAGGGCAAGUCAGGUGCCAGCAGCCGCGGUAAUUCCUGCUCCAAUAGCGUAUAUUAAAGUUGUUGCAGUUAAAAAGCUCGUAGUUGAACUUCUGCCUAUUUAGCUGGGUUCUCUUAGGCUAAAAUGGGCAUACGUUUGCAAACCAAACUCGGCCUUCACUGGUUCGACUUGGGGAGUAAACAUUUUACUGUGAAAAAAUUAGAGUGUUUCAGGCAGGUUAUAGCCCGGAUACAUCAGCAUGGAAUAAUGGAAUAGGACUGAGUCCAUUUUAUUGGUUAUUGGAUUUGGUAAUGAUUAAUAGGGACAGUUGGGGGCAUUAGUAUUUAAUAGUCAGAGGUGAAAUUCUUGGAUUUAUUAAGGACUAACUAAUGCGAAAGCAUUUGCCAAAGAUGUUUUCAUUAAUCAAGAACGAAAGUUAGGGGAUCAAAGACGAUCAGAUACCGUCGUAGUCUUAAGCUAUAAACUAUACCGACUACGGGAUCGGCUGGAAUACUAUGUCCAGUCGGCACCGUAUGAGAAAUCAAAGUCUUUGGGUUCUGGGGGAAGUAUGGUCGCAAGGCUGAAACUUAAAGGAAUUGACGGAACAGCACACCAGAAGUGGAACCUGCGGCUUAAUUUGACUCAACACGGGGAAACUCACGUAGCGCAAGACAGAGAAGGGAUUGACAGAUUGAGAGCUCUUUCUUGAUUCUUUGGGUGGUGGUGCAUGGCCGUUCUUAGUUGGUGGAGUGAUUUGUCUGGUUAAUUCCGUUAACGAACGAGACCUUAACCUG